rnacentral:rRNA from 1 species
AAACCAACAGGGAUUGCCCUAGUAACGGCGAGUGAAGCGGCAUCAGCUCAAAUUUGAAAUCUGGCUCUUUCAGAGUCCGAGUUGUAAUUUGCAGAGGGCGCUUUGGUGUCGGCAGCGGUCCAAGUUCCUUGGAACAGGACGUCACAGAGGGUGAGAAUCCCGUACGUGGUCGCUGACCUACACCGUGUAAAGCCCCUUCGACGAGUCGAGUUGUUUGGGAAUGCAGCUCUAAAUGGGAGGUAAAUUUCUUCUAAAGCUAAAUACUGGCCAGAGACCGAUAGCGCACAAGUAGAGUGAUCGAAAGAUGAAAAGCACUUUGGAAAGAGAGUCAAACAGCACGUGAAAUUGUUGAAAGGGAAGCGCUUGCAGCCAGACUUGCUUGUAGUUGCUCAUCCGGGCUUUUGCCCGGUGCACUCUUCUGCGAGCAGGCCAGCAUCAGUUUGGACGGUUGGAUAAAGGCCUCUGUCACGUACCUUCUCUCGGGAAGGCCUUAUAGGGGAGGCGUCAUGCAACCAGUCUGGACUGAGGUCCGCGCAUCUGCUAGGAUGCUGGCGUAAUGGCUGUAAGCGGCCCGUCUUGA